AUGGGGGGUGGGGGCUCAGAGCCCAGGGCACUGCCAUCCUCCCGGGGCAGAUGGCCGGCAGCGCUGGCCUUGCUCCACCCUGAGGCCUGUGUUUACCCGCCUGCCAGGCCCUGCACCGUGCUGCUCCUGGGCCCCGCUGUGGCCGCAGCUGGGAUCGAGGCAGGAAGCACACGGCAGGGGCACCUGGAUGCAGCUAGGUAGCUGCGUGCGUGCGUCGUCAUGACAGCAGGAGCCACGUGGGGCACAGUGCUGCGCAUCUCUCGCUGCUGUGCGGUCUCGGUCCUCGGUCCUCACCGCAACACCACACCACGGAGGCCACCACCCCACACGGUGGCCCCAGUGGUGCACACCUGCUCUCCUGCCUGUACGGAGCUGCAUUCCUCACCUUACUGGGCCGCUGGGCCAGCGGGGAGCAGGAACAACUCGUCCUCCAGCUGACCGCCACCUUGUGGACACCAGACCAGGUCCAGGGAGACCAGACACUGUGCUGAAAUUAGCUGCGCUAGCAGGGCUGCUGGUGAGACCCAACAGGCUGGUUGGUGGCCUAGAAACGGCUGCCACAGGCCCCAUUGCUGGGCUCCGCCAUGUGGGCGAGCCGGCGGUGUAGGCUGGGCCUCUGGAGGACGUCACAGGCUUGGUGAGACAGCAGCAGGAAGCAGAGACUGCCCCACAGGGACCUGGCGACUUGUUUCCUGCCCCGGGAGGGACUGGCAGUGGCAAAUACCAGGACUGGAAAACCAGCACGGAAGCCUCUUGUUUUACCCUGUUAAAGAGAGCUCGUAGGACAGGAGAGCGGACGUCACCUCUGCGAGCCCGGAAGAUCUUGCCAUGACACCCAUGUGGCCUGGAAAACAGAAAGCUGGGGACCCCUCGUGGUGGACGGAGUCCGGCAGCCGCUGCGACACGCCUCGCCGCUAGGUGGAGCCGCAGGUGCACAAUCGGGUUUGCCUCCCAGCCAGCCGCUUUUGAGCAAAGCCGGGUCCUGACAGUCUGCUCCCUUCUGCUACCAUGUGCGGCGGUGUUUUGUCUUCCUGGUGCAGGAAAAGAAGACGGCUCCGCACGGAAGCUACGGUUCCAUUUGUCCAGAGGAGGGAGAGCUCGUCGGUGGCAAGCCUGCAGGGACAGACUGUAAGGGUCACAGGCUGCAGAGGGCGCGGGGGCCACGGAGCUGGUGCCGUUCACGUGGCUGUCGUUUUCUUCAAGGUACAUUCUGUGGGAUUCAGCAGAGGCCUCGCGCAGCCCAACAGCCUCAGCCUCCACGUCCCGGGUCUUAAAUUAACCGUGUGGGAGGCGCCGCCUGUCGCAGAGCAGUGUGCCCGCCGUGCAGCCACGUGCCUUCCCCCGCAUCCUGACCAGAACAUUCCCCUUGCGCGUGCGGGCAGCCCGCCAGCCGGGCAUGCCAGGGUCCGCAGGGCCGGGCAGACGGAAGCCGGCGUUCCGAGGCACGAGAGCCUGGCUAGUCUCUCCGGCCUCUUUCUACGUGGCCAGUGCUGGCCUGGGCACCGCCUGAGGUCUUCCUCCCACCCGUGCCCUGAGUUUUCACGUCGUCCCAAAGGUGCACCCUGGGCAGCUGAAAGCAGCUUAAUGGACAGUUUGACUGGAUUGUUGGUGGUUUCUUAUGAUGAUAUUACCCAAAUCCCUUGGAACACUUUCGGGACUGUGGAUUCAGGGGACACCAGUGGAGACCCAGAGGCCGUGGGGCCUGGACUAGGGGACCUGGCAAGUGAGAUGUGAUCUGCCUGCUGCCCCGCGGACUCCGGACCGGACCUCAGAGCCGCCGUCGGGUCACGGUGGCCACCCGCACCACCGUGCCGGUCCCCCUGGGCCCGCGGCGUCCGCGCAUGGCUUUGUCUGUUGCUUGUGGCUUGCCGUUGGUGCCGGGACAGAGAGGAGGAGCCGGGGUGCCUGCCACGUGCCGCCGCGGCCCCUGCGCCCCGGAAGUGGGGCUGGCCUGGAGCGAGGGCCUUCGGGGCAGAGACCCACCCGACGGGAAGACUUGGCACAGGCGGCGAGCCAGCAGGAGGUGCUACUGGAAAACUAAGAGCUGAGGGGCACCUGGCCGGCUCAGUCGGAGGACCUGGCGGCUCUUGAUCUCCGGGUUGUGAGUUCCAGCCCCACGUUGGGUACAGAGAUUAUUUAACAAAACCUUAAAAAAAAAGUUGAAUCUGUAGCUCACAUGGGAUUUCUUUUGGAGGGAGCCGUGCCACAGCCCACCUUCUCGGAGUACACACGUGCACGCGUAGGUGCGCACACCACACACACACACUCCCCCUGAGGACACACGCACACGUGGAGUGGUGGUGCGUGCACGUACACAACUGAGGGCACAUACUAUCACACACAUAUGUGUCACACAUGAAUAGGAAGCUGCGGGUAGUACACGUGCGCACACGCUCUCACAGACACACGCACGUGCUGUAGCUGUGCAUGCAGGUGCAAACACAACACACUGCACAGUGCGUGUGCGCACACGACCACACACACGUGCACACACACGGGGCCCGCUCGGGACGUGCAGGGGCAGCCGGGGCCUCAGGGCUCCUGGAGCGGUGAGGAGUAACAGGCCCAAGGUCACAGCAGGGAAGAUGGGGCCAUCUCCGGUCCUGAAUGUGUCAGUCACAUGUCCUGAGGAUGCUGCCCUGCAGGGUGUGCGACGUGUGUGGGGACCUGGGACCUUCUGGCGGGAAGGGUGUCAGACACAGCAGCCCCUCUGCACCCCCAGCUCUCCGGCCGCCACUUGCCCGUGAUUCUAAAUGAAUGGGUUUUUCAGCUUCUUCUUUAACAAUGAGAUGAAAUGCACAUGAGAUUAACCACUUAGUAUUCAACAGUGCAGCGGCAUUUACCACAAUCACCGUGUUGUGCGCUCAGCACCUCUGUCUCGGUCCCGAACAUUCCCAUCACCUGCUCCCAAAAGAAACUCUGUACCCAGUAGUGGUCAUUCCCUGCCUGCUGUGCUCUCGGUCUCCUCGGACUUGCCUGCUCCAGACGUGCCGUGUGAGUGGGGUCACGCCUUGUGGCCUGUGCCUGGCUUCUCCCCCAGCGGCACCUGUGUGAGCUUUGUCGGUGCCGCAGGACGUGUCCGGGCCUCCUCCUUGGGCAGCCUUCCCACGUGUGGACGGGGCACUUCCUUCAUGGGGCCGUCUGUGGACCAGCCGGUGGGUCGCCUCCGCCUUCUGCCCGUGUGCUGCCGUGGUGUGGAGCUGAGCCCAGACCUGCCGCCAUUCCUGCCGGGUCUGCGCCCUCGAGGGGCGGGGCCGCCUUCAGGCCGGGCUCUGGCUCCUCUCCCACGGGUCCCUCAGGCCCUGGGAGGAGCCCUGAGUUGCUUCCAGCCCCGAAUGCCCGCUGUAGCUCGCUGGAGGCUGCAGGUCCCCUCGAGGGGGUCUAGCAGCCUCUCGGAGGGUCCUCCAGGCUGAAGGCCCAGGAGCUGCCGGAAGCUCUCACCACUGAGAUCUGCAAGGGACCUCUCGGAAGAGGAACCACAGCAUUUUCCUUCGGAGGCUUCUUUCCAGAGGCGCGACGUCCUCCAGAGAAUGCAGAAAAGCAUGGGUCGGGCUCCAGAGAAAAUACACACAAAGAAGAGAAGCACAUUUGGAUCUCACCAGGCAGCUUUCGGGGUCUUCCUACUCUCCUGGGGCUGCCCUAACCAAGCCACAGGCUCAGGGCUCAAACGGCAGGCAUCCCUUUCAGGCUGGAGGCCGCAAGCCCUAAACUGAGGUGUCGCGGGGCCGUGCUGCUUCUGGGGGGGGCACUCCCUGUGCCUCCAGCCUCCAGUGAUGCCAGACAUCCUCGGUGUCCCUUGGUUGGUGGACAUGUCACCCCUCUCUGCAUCCAGGGGCACACGGUAUCUCCUGGUAAGGACAGUGUGCUGUUGGUGUGGGACUCACUGACUUCAGGUGACCGACCCCCUUUUACCGAUGGCGCCUGCAGUGGCCCUGUCUCCGGGUAAGGCCCCAUUCUGAGAUCACUAGGGUCAGGACUGAGGCAUAUCAUUUUGUGGGAUGGUUCAACCUCGUGCAGGUCGUGGCUGUGCCCUCUUCUGUGUUACAGUAUUGAAAAACCAUUUACAUUAAAAAAAAUUAACUUUUAUGGGGGGCCUGGGUGGCUCAAUUGGUUAAGUGUGCGACUU